CGUUAUCAAUCUGAGUAACAAGGAAAAAAUUUUUAAUUCAUGUGCAGCAAGAUGAUGAAACCAGCAGAUCCAUUGUUUCAGCGACGUGCAGAUUAUUGACUGGAGCCGGGAAGCUGGGGUUUCAGAGGAGUCUUCUUUCGUGCCGCUUCUGUGACACUUCAUGAUCACCCACAAGAUUGCUUAUACUGUGUCAGUGUGGUGACUGGUGCUUUGUAAAAUCUGAUGGGGUUUUGUAAUUGAUUAUGUUGCUAGUGAGGAGUGGCAGCGAUGAUGAUGUUGAUGAUGAUAAUUAACUUAAUCGCCAUUGAUUUCCAAAUGUCGAAUCUAAAG
rnacentral:lncRNA from 1 species